rnacentral:rRNA from 1 species
UACAGAGGUCCCAAGCGUUGUUCGGAUUCACUGGGCGUAAAGGGUGCGUAGGUGGCCAGGUAAGUUCGGUGUGAAAGCUCGGAGCUUAACUCCGAAAUGUCAUUGAAUACUAUCUGGCUGGAGGGUCGGAGGGGAGACUGGAAUUCUCGGUGUAGCAGUGAAAUGCGUAGAUAUCGAGAGGAACACCAGUGGCGAAGGCGGCACUCUGGGCCGGUACUGACGCUGAGGAGCGAAAGCGUGGGUAGCAAACAGG